GUCUACGGCCAUGCUACCCUGAAUAACCCUGAUCCCGUCUGAUCUCGGAAGCUAAGCAGGGUUGGGGCUGGUUAAUACUUGAAUGGGAGAUCACCUAGGAAGACCAGGUGCUGUAGGUG
rnacentral:rRNA from 1 species